AGAGCGAACGCUGGCGGCAGGCUUAACACAUGCAAGUCGAGCGGGCGUAGCAAUACGUCAGCGGCAGACGGGUGAGUAACGCGUGGGAACAUACCUUUUGGUUCGGAACAACACAGGGAAACUUGUGCUAAUACCGGAUAAGCCCUUACGGGGAAAGAUUUAUCGCCGAAAGAUUGGCCCGCGUCUGAUUAGCUAGUUGGUGAGGUAACGGCUCACCAAGGCGACGAUCAGUAGCUGGUCUGAGAGGAUGAUCAGCCACAUUGGGACUGAGACACGGCCCAAACUCCUACGGGAGGCAGCAGUGGGGAAUAUUGGACAAUGGGCGCAAGCCUGAUCCAGCCAUGCCGCGUGAGUGAUGAAGGCCCUAGGGUUGUAAAGCUCUUUGUGCGGGAAGAUAAUGACGGUACCGCAAGAAUAAGCCCGGCUAACGUUCGUGCCAGCAGCCGC
rnacentral:rRNA from 1 species